GCAACCUGCAAGAGACACCGACUUGGGCAGUGGCUAGCAUUUGCUUUUUCCUCAUACUCCUCUCCAUAAUCUUUGAAUGCUGCAUGCGCCACAUUGUCUAAUGGCUCAGGAAGCAUAAGAAGAAGGCAUUGGAAGAGGCUGUGGAGAAGCUUAAAUCAGAGCUGAUGCUGUCUGGUUUCAUUUUGCUUAUAGUAGCAGCACUACAAGGACCCAUCUCUAAUAUCUAUGUACCCAUCAAAUAUGCAAAAUUCAUGCUUCCUUGUCCCAAUAAUGCAACUACCACAAUAGAAAAAUUCAGGGAGACUCAUAGAACUGGUGGCACUUCCAACAAUGAUAAACAUAGUCCACAUAGUGCAACACCUUAGUAGGGUAGCAGAAGCAAGAGAAGGAGCUAGAAUCAGGACUGCAAUUAUGAGGCAAAUGUGGGUUGAUUAUCGGCGAAGGCGGCGUAAUCUCCAUUAGAGCAUUGGUUGUACUUUUUUUUGUGUGCUAUGCUUGUAAUAGCUACAAAGUUGGAUUAUACUAGAGACUGUGAUUUGGAAUGGAAUUAUAAAAUCUUUACGAGAAAGCA